CUUUGCUCUUUCCAUAACUGUUCUACCCUCUGAGAUGAGAAAUAGUAAAGCCAAUUAGAUGCAGCAAUGAUAGAAGCUAAAGAAAACAAAGUAAAUCUGGGCAAAAAAAAAAAGAAAAAGGAAAGAAAAGAAAGAGCAUCAGAACAUGGGAAUAUUUAAACCGACAAAAUACACAAAGAGAAGAAAAUCAGGACUCAGAUUUGUAUAGCUUUUAAAAGAUUUCAAUAUGUGGUAACCAGUCCUUCCUAGAGUGAAUUAUCAGCAAUACUCCCAAGUAAGGAUAUAUAUGCAGGUCACUGUCCUAAACUCCUGGGAAGAUGGGGCCGGCAGUUCUCACUGCAAAGCUUGGGCUAAUUCUGCUGUUGCUAGAAGCCAGGGAGUCUCUGGAAGAUGCUCACUCUCUCUGCCUCGACUUCACUGUCAGAUAUCAGGCCUCACCUGGACAGUCAUGGUGUGAAGCCCAGGGCUCAGUGAAUGGAAAAGCCUUUCAGUGACAGCAGCAAGGCCAGACCUGUGGAUCUGCUUGGGGAGGAGGUCAAGGCCACCAAAGCAUGGAGAGAAUUGUCCCAAACUCUGGAAGAAGUGGGGCGAGAGCUCAGGAUGAUCCUGCUUGUCACAAAACCAGAGAAAAGCCUGAGUGGAGGUUUUCCCACCCUGCAGGCCCAGCUGUGCUGUCAGAGGGAAGCAGGGGAGUGCACUGGUGCAACCUGGGAGUUCAGCAUCAAUGAACAGAGAGCCCUCAUUAAUACAAUGACCAUGACCUGGACAGUCAUUGAUCCUGGAGCCAGAGGGAUUAAAAAGGAAUGGGAGAGCAAUCAGGACUUGGCAGAAGACUUCAGCAUCAUCUCAAGUAGAAUUUGCAGUCACUGGCUUAAUGGAUUCCUAGAGCACUGGCAGAAAAUGCUGGAGCCCACAGCCACACCACUGAAGAUUCCUGAUACUCACCAGCAUUCUUCAGCAACUCAGUUAAUUGCCUGGAUCAUCCUGACAGUCUUCCCAUGCUGUUUCAUCCUUACUGACAUUUUGUCAGAUAUAUAGAAAGAAUGAAAAAAAAAAUCAGAAGUUGGGGGCAGAACCAAGAUGGAGACUUGGAAGCAGCUGCUUGUGUGAGCUCCGACAACAACUUCUGGAAAGGGUAGGACUCCUGGCUUUCAGCAGGACGAGAUUCCUGGCUCACCAGCAGUGUCAUUCCAAUCCUGUUCCUUUCUGAAUCACUUUGCUCUUUUUUUUCUGUCUAAGUGGCCAAUUGGAGCUACAAAUAUCUGGCUAAGCAGAGUCUCACCCCACCUGGGAAAGACUGCCUGGAGGGUGUUUGUUUGUUUGUUUGUUUGUUUGUUUGUUUGUUUGUUUUUAACAAUUGGCUGCCUCUGCUCAGAGUGCCUGAGCUAAUCGGGAGCCGUUCAAGCUGCAGACUGACUAUUAGGGUUUUUUUUGUUCUGUUCUAUUUUAUUAUUACUAUUAUAUAUAUAUGCAUGUCCCUUUCCUCCCCUCCUUCAAGUUGACCAAAAUUAACUCUUAGUGUAUUUUCCAUUGCUAGAUUACUAGGUGUCUUAUCCAUUGUGAAAGGAACUUGUUUAACUCUUCCUACCUCCUCUAUUCACUCUCCCACUUCUCCCUCCUCCUAUCUAAUUAAAAUAAUAAUAAAUAAAUAAAUAAUUUCCUUUCACUGCUCUUUUUUUCUUUUUAUUGUUCUUUUCUCUCCUUUUUCUUUUUCUCAUUCUUGUCUUCCUUUCUUCCUUCCUCCUUCUUCUGCUUUCUGAAUUCACUGAUACUCGCUUGUGAAUUAUUUUGGGGAAGAAAUCUGACUCAGAGUAGACUCUCUUUGUGUGUGAGACUCUGCUCUACUUCCCUUUUUCCUCUUGCUACUCCUAGAAUUUACAUUGGACAGUAGAUUUGCAUAAUUGUCUAUUCUUGCUAUCCCUUUUUUCCUUUAUCUUUCAUUUUCAUUUGGAUUUGGUUGCUAUUUUUUCUUGGACUGGGGACAUUGUUUGGCUAACUGGUAUUGGUUAAACUGCUUCAAUCCUUGCUUCAAUUACUAUUGUAGUUUCUGAGCUUGGUGAUUGAAUUUGUCAUAAAGGUAUUUAGUAUAGUGUGGCUUGUACUCAAAACACAACAAGUGAGGAACAACAGAACAUAAAAAUAAAAAAAAAUUGAUAAAAAAUGAUUAAACCAAGAGCAAAUAAAACUGCUACUAUAAUGAAUGAAGACAAGAGCCCAGAAGAAACUACAAAUCAGUCAGAAGUAACCAUAGAUAAAAAAGUAUGCAAGCAAUAAUAAACUUAUUAAUCACGGAAAUGAAAACAAGAUCCUGGCCAACCAGAUACAGCAGUAUAUCAAAAAGAUUGUUCAUCACAACCAAGUGGGAGCUAUGCAGGGCUGGUUCAACAUAUGAAGUCAAUCAAUGUCAUUCACAUCAAUAAAAGCAAAGCCAAAAACCACAAUUAUCUCAAUAGAUGCAGAGAAAGCCUUUGACAAAAUCCAACACCCAUUCAUGCUCAAAACUCUACC